GUGUCAGCAGCCGCGGUAAUACGGAGGGUGCGAGCGUUGUCCGGAAUCACUGGGCGUAAAGGGCGCGUAGGCGGCAUGCCAAGCGUGUGGUGAAAGCCCGGGGCUCAACCCCGGGUCGGCCGUGCGGACUGGCGUGCUCGAGCACUGUAGGGGCGGGUGGAAUUCCGGGUGUAGCGGUGGAAUGCGUAGAGAUCCGGAAGAACACCGGUGGCGAAGGCGGCCCGCUGGGCAGGAAGGUGGAGCAAUCCACCGGCUGACGCUGAGGCGCGACAGCGUGGGGAGCAAACAGGAUUAGAUACCCCCGUAGUCC
rnacentral:rRNA from 1 species